rnacentral:rRNA from 1 species
GACGAACGCUGGCGGCGUGCUUAACACAUGCAAGUCGAACGGAAAGGCCCCUUUGGGGGUCCUCGAGUGGCGAACGGGUGAGUAACACGUGAGUAACCUGCCCUUGACUUCGGGAUAAUUUCAGGAAACUGGGGCUAAUACCGGAUAGGAAUCCUUGCUGCAUGGUGGGGGUUGGAAAGCUUCGGCGGUUUUGGAUGGACUCGCGGCUUAUCAGCUUGUUGGUGGGGUAGUGGCUUACCAAGGCUUUGACGGGUAGCCGGCCUGAGAGGGCGACCGGCCACAUUGGGACUGAGAUACGGCCCAGACUCCUACGGGAGGCAGCAGUGGGGAAUAUUGCACAAUGGGCGGAAGCCUGAUGCAGCAACGCCGCGUGCGGGAUGACGGCCUUCGGGUUGUAAACCGCUUUCAGCAGGGGCGAAGCUUGUGGUGACGGUACCUGCAGAAGAAGCACCGGCUAACUACGUG